rnacentral:lncRNA from 1 species
CUGGGGGUGACCUGAGGGGUUCCCAGGAGCUCGGGUGGGACCGAGAGUCCCGGCACAGUCACCAGGGCUGUCAGUUCCGUGUGGUCGGCUGGUGUCUGGGCGCAGGCGCCUCCCGGGCCAAGUGUGUGCAGAUGAGACUGUUACACAGAGCAGCCCCAGGCGCGUGCCUGGCACCACGACAGCUGUGCGGGCCAGACAGGGCCUCCCGCAGCCUCUCCAGGGCACCCACGCACAGCACACGUGGCAGGCAGCCUCCUCCUCCCGCUUGACGCCUCCCAUGCCCCUCCCUGUAGCUGGUCGCAAAGUCCAGGAAACACCUGCCCGGUUUUCUGUCCUGUGGGUGGCUGAGACCCCGGCAUUGGACCCGUGAGGCGACCUGUCUGAAUGCAGAAGACACACAGGCCCACAGUCCUGGCCACGCCCCGAGAAACCCGCUGCUUUCCCCUGGGGACUAUUGACCGGCCGCCUCUGUGGCCAGGCAUAGGCCAGGGAGUGCAGAGAGGCCCGUCCCCCACUGCAAGCCUGGGAUGCAGCGACCUCACCGCAGAGCAGAAAGGCCUCACUGCAGUGGGCGCCCGGGGCCAGGAUUUGGCUAUGCCCGGGGCAGUGGCUCCUCCGAGGAAGAGGUCUGUGGCCACCUCCCCCCUAGGCCCUGGGAACAGGAAGCUGAACUUGCUGUGAAAUUAUCUCCUGCCACUCAACUGCUUCCCCCUCAGCAAGGCCCCGCCCUCAGGAGAGAAAGCACAGGAGACGCUGGAGUGCUGUGAAGGAGACUGGGGAUCUGAGCUGAGCAGGGAUGUUCUGCUCCAUGCCAUGCCAGUGCUGACGGGCAGCCACUGGAGAGAACAGGCCGCCCCUGGAAGGUGCUCCAACACGCAUGAUUUAUGAGGCUCCCCGAUGUGAGCUGGAACAGCUUGCUCCUUCACACUAAAUAAAACCAAAAGCGGCACAGGAGUGCGGCGUCUGUGAGCGCCUCGUGCGUACAAAUGACCAUCAUAAAUCUUUCCGCUCUGCGACGCAUCUUUGGGGAGUUUGGCUGAGAAGCCAGAGCUGGAGAGCGGGCGAGGAGGGAGAGGAAGCAGAGUCUGAAUGUCCUGUGCAUCCUCUGGGGUCCUCAGGGCGGGGCGGGGGGUGCUGUCCUGCAGGAGGCGGGACAGGAUCUCUGUUCCUCUGCCCCUCCCCACUCCUGCUGUUCACAGCUACUGAACAGCACAAAGCAAGCCUGUCUGUGCGGACCACUGCUGCUGGCCAAGGCGUCCGGCUGAAAAAGUUCUUGGGAAGCCCAGUGAAGGUCCCUCUGUAACAACCUAGAAGGCCACUUCUUAGAACAAAGAAAUCACCCUGGUGUUCGGGCCCGACGGGAUUUUGUGUUAGGGUAGAUUUUGUCAGCAGCAGCAGAGAUCCAGCACAAACCAGCCUAAACAAAGGAGGAAAGAAGUUGAUUUCUAGAACCAGGACUUGCGUAGUAAGUCCAGGGCCUCGGGCACAGCUGGAUCCAGGAGUUAAAUGAAGUCAUCGUGAUCCCUCCAUGGGUGCAUAUGGCUGACUCUCCCCAUUCUCGGUGGCCACGGUCUGCAGCGUCACCACCGCGCGGGCAGAUGCUGAGCCUCUGGUCCUUAGGGAACAAGAUCAGGUUCCUUUGAGCCUCUGGUCACCACAUUUUCACCACCCAUCAGUCUGUCACUUUGGUCUGUUUCUGCUUAAAGACACUGUAUUUAGUGUAUAGAGUUGAUUCAUUAACGUUGAACUCACGGCCAACAGCACCUACACAGGCCUGAGCGAAGCGUCUCCAUCGCAUGUCACAGCUCCUGCACUCAGGGUCACUCGAGAGGACCUCAGCUCUGUUCCUGAGGCUACUUUAAGCUGCAACAUCACCGACAAAGAGCAUGAAAAUGUGAAUGACAGGACUCUAAAAAGAACGCACGUUUACUCCGAGAGCGGAAACAAGAAGGCGGGUGCGGCCUCACUCCUUCCCGGCCAGGCACGCACGUGGGUGACGCGGCUUCCAGAAGCUCUGUGCACGCCUGUGAAUGACCAGGAAAGACCCCGGUACUGAUCUGGGGAUUACGAAUACGUUUUAGCAAGAGGUCAAAGCCCCCACACUCAGCGUCCGGAGCUCAGCACCUGCCUGCCCCAACCUGCCUGACCCUCCAUCCCUGCGCCGUGAACGGUGACUCUGUCCCCGCUGUGCCUGGUGGCAAAGGUGACCCUUGACUUCCAAUCUGUCAGCAAACACCGUGGGUUCCACCCCCAGGUUAAGUGCAGAAUCUGCCCAAUUCUGGCCACCUCUGCGGCCCAGCCUUGACCCCAGGCACCCUCGUCUCUCAGCCGGACGACGGCUGAGACAAUGGCCGCAGCACCCACCGCCCUCCCCAGGUCUCAGUCGGUCCCAGACAAGGGCCGCAGCUCACCGCCCUCUCGCCUCUCCCGGGUCUCAGUCGGUCCCCGGCACAGCAGCUGCCGCCACACUGAGGUCACUACACUGCCCUCCGCUCCUGACCCUGCAGCGCCCCCUCCCCCCGAGUCAAAGGCUUAGUGUUCACAGAGGCCACGCAGCCUUCCCGCCCUCCAGGCAGCUCCCACCCAGAGCCCUCCCGCGCCAACCCCUCUGCCCGGCGCUCCUCCCUCCAAGGACGACUCCCCGUGUCCUUCUCCUGACCUGGCUGCUCACGGCCACGCAGCAGACACAGACACUGUACACCCUCAAGGACUCCCGGCCCAUUCACAUGCAUGUCUGUGAUGCUGUGGUCAGCGGUCGCUGGGACCCGCCAACGUGGGCUCCAUGUGCUGAGGCCCCGUGGAGGUGACUGACAGGGCAGCGGGUGCCUCAGCCAAGCCGGGCCCUCUGGGACCAUCAUAGGUAAAGUCUUCCCAUCUGCAAAUGAGAACCCGGGGAUGCUGACCCCGCACCGUCCCCCUGGGACUCUCCGGUGCUCUAUGGGUGGGUGCACGACCCAGGUGGGGAAAAUGGAAGAGAGCAGAGGUCGCCUGGGGGCAGGAGCCCAGGACACCCACCCCGCGACCACACUCAGAGCCGACUCAGCCCAUGGACGGCUGCAGUUUCCUUGUGUGCAGCCCCCAUGAGGAACCUGACUGCACGAGGCUCCUCCAGGGCUCCAUGAGACUCCGUCUCAGGGGCCUUCACCUGCUCUCGGCUUUAAACGAACCACUGAGAAUCACCUGUAACAACCUCACA